AAAUCACAAGCUGCCUGUUUCCAAGCACAUUAAUUUCAGCAGAUGGAACAAGCAUGUCUCUUGAUGGAAGGCCAAAGCUACCUCUCCUUGCUCCUGUUAUAAAGUAUGAACUGACUACCUGGUACUCCUUACAAAUCGCAUACUCAAGAACUUGGUUCCUCCUGGCAUCAAUACCCAGUAAUGUCUUCUACCUGCUCACAAGGGAUACAAAUCAUUAAUGUUAAAAGCACCACUGAAAAGAACAAGCAUGGAUGCCUCACCCACAUUACUCGUGGAGAAAGAACAGAAAAUAAAUUGUGGAACACGGAGAAUCCAGCAAGAUUAAAUAAUCUGAUCAGCAAAAACUGGUAUAUGGGAACCCCCAUGAUAAAAUUAAAGAAACCCCCAUUUGAUCUCACAUCCGAGCAGGCAAUAAGCCAGAUGCUGCCUGCUAUAAGGCCUGUAACACUCUAUGAGUCUGCCUCUCUUGAUGCCUGUGCUGAAACCUACAUUAAAACCUUCCUUUAAGAAG
rnacentral:lncRNA from 1 species